GAGUUAUCUGAGAGGUUGUCUUCUGGGUUGGAAGCCCCAGUUUGGCUCUUUUAUAAAACAAAACUCUUUUCUAUUCCUAUUCUGGAUUGUUUAUUUAUUAUUUUCACUGAAAUUACUUGGCAUAGUCGGCAGGAUAUCAGAAAAACCCGCCUGAGGUCACCUGGAUCUACUUUGGACCGGUGCUCGGGAGACCAAGCCUGGGCCCUUUGAGCCCCUCUGGCUUCACAGCACCCUUCAGGUGCUUUGGGCCUCUGCAUCAGACUGGUCUAUGGAGGGGACUGCUGACCUCAAACUCACCUUAAAACAACCAUCAAGCCAGGACGAGAAGACGGUGACAGCAGUGGUGGACAGCUGACCCAAGAAUCCGGGCCAAGCCUGUAAGACCCACCCUACUAGUUCGAUUAAACUGCUAUUCAAAUGUUUGUCUCCCUAUCAAAACUGAAAGUUACUCUUUUACUUCUAGCUAUACUUUUGCCCCAAUAUUGAGGAUGGAAAGAAAAUUCUUUAGUAAAGUUGUCACAAAGCAUAGCUACUGGGAUAGGCCCCUCCUAAUACCUGUCACUGACUUUUCAGAUGUUGCUAAUGUUACCACUCACCCAGACCAACCUCUCUCUGACCUAAUCUUUCAGGUUUCAAUUCUUCAACGUAUUAAUAUGGCCAUUCCUUGUCUGAUACUAUCUUCAGUCCCUAGAGACUGAGCAAUACUUACCCCAGGAACCCCUCCCUCUGUCCCUUACUUAAUUGAAAAAUGUCUUAAUAGCUGACAAAUAGAAGGUUUAUAUUUAUUAGAAUAUUAUGUUAUCCCAUUGUCUAUACAUCAGGAAAUAAACGAAUCUCCUUUCUCUCUUCAUUAAAGAGUCAAGCAAUCUAUGUUAGCAAAAUACCAAGAUACCAGUGGCAAAUCUUUUGGGAAUCUUGGUUCCUAAUGCAGGAGUGUUUGUAAACAAAAAGAUGAUCAGAAAUUCAUCAGCCACCACUGGUCAAACAGCCAAAAAGAUUGCACUGCAGCACAACAGAUAUCCCUAAAUUCCUUAGCCCAAGUAGUAUUAGAUAACUGGGUUGCCUUAGAUUUUCUACUGGUGUUUGUGCUAUUGUUCACACUUACGGGUUAAAUUUUUUUUUUUAAUUAGAAUGGGGAUAAUAGUAACCUGUGUGAGCUUGUUAUUUCAGUUAUAACUCCUGAGAUAAUGGUUAGUAGAAUGAUAGUAAACAUAAGAGGGUUUAUUAGUACUGGAAGGAUAUAAACCGACAUUUUUGGGGUAUGGGCCCAAUAGCUAGUUAGCUGACUUUACCAUGAAGAAUUUAAAAUUCUUAAGGAUAGGUUCAAUUUCUAUGAUUCUAGAAAUAAGAGGGUUUAAACCUCUAUUAUUAACUCUAUCAAAGUAACUCUUUGUCAUACAUAUUUCUUAUGUUUGUUGUGGGAUGCCUGAUGUGAUGACAGGUAGUGAAACUUCUCAUACACAUAGGGCUAAUGUUAGUGGUAAAAAUUUUUUCAUAAGAGAUAUAUAAGCUGAUCUUAUCAAAAUUGUGGGCAGGAUGCUUGAAUUCAUAGAAAGGAGAUUGUUAGGAGGAGUGUUUUAAUGAUGACAUUGGCUGUAUAGAAUUCUAGCAUGUAGGGGCUGUUAAAUGCUCCUAAAAAUAGGAUUGUUGUGAAAAUAUUUAUUAUAAUGAUAUUGACAUAUUCUGCUAGGAAGAACAGGGUGAAUAGGCCUGCUAAUUUUCUACAUUGAAGCCAAAUAUAGGUUAAAUCAAAUGGGACUCUGUUGGUUUCUGCUAGAGAAGAGAUAAAUCACAUUCCGCUAGGGGUCAGGAUGGGAAAAUUAGUCAUAGGUAUUCUUGUGUAAUAAUUACUGCUGAAAGUGUAAAUGAUCAUUUAUCACUAGAACUGAUAAGAGAAUAAUUGCUACUGUUAAAUCAUAUGCGAUUGUCUGUGCUACUGCAUGAUGACUGUGUAUGUUGAAUCCAAAGCGCAUCCAGAUCAGAGGAUGGAAAAAAUGGCUAGGCUUGAUAUAGCUAGUAUAAAUAGUACACCUAGGUUUAUAUUAACUAGUGGAAAGGGUAGGGGGAGAGGAGUUCAUCUUGUGAGAGCCAGGCUUGAGGCUCGACUUGGUGCGAUAACAAAUACAGAAAUUGAUGAGAUUGAUGGUCAUAGUGUUUCUUUAAUAAAUAAUCUGACUGUAUCAGCAAUGGGUUAUAAUAAUCCAUAAGGGCUGAUGAUGUGUGGCCCUUUCUGGAUUUGUAUAUAGCCUAGAAAUUUCCAUUCCAUUAAUGUGAGGAAUGCUACAGCUAGUAAAAGUAAAAUUAGUGAAAGAAUGCAGAUUAUAAAUAUUUCCGUAGGAAAAGGACUUGAACCUCUGCAGAUAAAGGUUUUAGUUUUACACAAUUACCAGGCUCUACCACCCUAACAAACCCUGUUCUAUAGUGGGGUAUGUAUAAAUUAAUUGAAUUGAGAUUAUAUCAUCAGUUAGUUUGAAGACAUUUUGUAAAGUAGGCCUUAUUUCUCUCAUUCUUUCAUACUGAGAGAAAUAUAGAAUAGAAACUGACUGGGAUUACUCCAGUCUGAACUCAGAUCAAACAGGACUUUACUAAUCACUGAACAGACCGUUAAUAGCAGUUAUACUAUUGGGAUGUACCGAUCCAGCAUCAAGGUCAUAAACCUUAUCGUCAGUAUGAACUCUACAAUUGUGCUGCUACCCCUAGGGUAACUUAUUCCACUUAUCAAUAUUUUGGAUCAAUAGUGAUAAAACAUUUUGACCACCUGGUCUAAAUUUUAAUCACUCCGAUGUUUUAUUCUCCAAAGUUACCCCAACCAAAAUUGUUAAUCCAUUAAAAGCUAUGUUGGAGGCUUGCAAGACGGCAGAGUGGAAGGACCUCGAGCUUACCUCCCUCUCAUGAACACACCAAUAUCACAACUGACUGCUGAACAACCAUUGAUUAAAAAAAGACUGGGGCUUCCCUGGUGGUGCAGUGGUUGAGAGUCUGCCUGCCAAUGCAGGGGACACGGGUUCGAGCCCUGGUCUGGGAGGAUCCCACAUGCUGCAGAGCAGCUAGGCCCGUGCGCCAC